rnacentral:rRNA from 1 species
GUAUGCUCAACCCUCUCUAGACAAAUCAGCAUGUGUACUGCCGUUGCAAGCAUACCUUUAAAAGAACAGUAUGCUACUAUGAUUAAAUAAUUUAACUCAUAUACAUCAGGUCAAAGUGCAGCUAAUAAGAAGGUGAUGAUGGGUUACAACCCGAAAAAAGACCAUCAACUAAGAAAUUAAAAAUCUUACGAAAGCGGACUUGGCCGUAAUCAAUUUAAUUAAAGAAAUGAAUAUUAUCUAAGACAUGCACACAUCGCCCGUCACUCUAUCCUAAAGGAUAGAUAAGUCGUAACAAAGUAGGUGUAAUGGAAAUUGUACCUGUCGAAGUAUAGCAUAUAAAAUGCUUUUUACUUACACUAAAAAUAAAGUUAAAUAACUUGCUUCGCCCACAAAAUAAAAUCUUAUAAUUAUAUAAUAAUCAAAACAAUAACUAAUACAACUACACAAGUACAGAAAUGGAAACAAUAAUAAAUAAAAGUAAAUCUUAACAAAUGUACCUUGUGCAUUAUGGUUUUACAAGAAAAUAAUUAAAUAUUACAAUCCCGAAUUCUAAAUGAGAUGUUAAACUGCUGUUAUGAACCCAUUAGUAACUGUGAAAAAAGAUUUAAAAGACAGUUUAACAGAGGCUACAUACCAUCCGCAUAAGAAUAUAGCUGGUUUUCAACAAACAUUAUACAUUAAAACAUAUAAUUAUAUUAUAAUGUAAAAUUAUUGAGGACAAGCCCAAUAAUUAAUGCAAUAGCACACCAAACUCUAUUUUACUUUAUAGGCCUAAAACCAGCCAACUAUAAUACUUUACCGUAAUAUAAGUAGAUAAAAUAUAUAGUAUAUAAUGCCCAAAAAAGUUGAAAUUGGGGAAAAACCAAAUCUUCCUCUCAUAAUAUGUAAAAAUAAGUAUUAUACACCAAAAAUAUAAUAAUCUAGUAACAACACCGAAUAAAACAAAAAUAAUUAAUUAAGGAACUCGGCAAACAAUUAUUUCGACUGUUUAACAAAAACAUUGUCUUAUGUAUACAAUAUUAGAUAA